UGGAAUGCGCAGCUAUCAGGAGGAACACCAAUGGCGAGGCCAGGUCUCUGGCCCAAUACUGACACUGAGGAGCGAAAGUCUGGGGAGCGAACAGGAUUAGAUACCCUGGUAGUCCAGACCGUAAACGGUGGGCACUAGUUGUGGGAACCUUCCACGGUUUCUGCGACGCAGCUAACGCAUUAAGUGCCCCGCCUGGGGAGUACGAUCGCAAGAUUAAAACUCAAAGGAAUUGACGGGGCCCCGCACAAGCAGCGGAGCAUGCGGCUUAAUUCGACGCAACGCGAAGAACCUUACCCAGGCUUGACAUAUAGGGAAAAAUGGCAGAGAUGUCAUGUCCGCAAGGGCCCUAUACAGGUGGUGCAUGGUUGUCGUCAGCUCGUGUCGUGAGAUGUUGGGUUAAGUCCCGCAACGAGCGCAACCUUUGUUUUGUGUUGCCAGCAUUUAGUUGGGGACUCACAGGAGACUGCCGGGGUUAACUCGGAGGAAGGUGGGGAUGACGUCAAAUCAUCAUGCCCCUUAUGUCUUGGGCUGCACGCAUGCUACAAUGGCCGGUACAGAGGGCUGCAAUACCGUAAGGUGGAGCGAAUCCCAAAAAGCCGGUCUCAGUUCGGAUUGAGGUCUGCAACUCGACCUCAUGAAGUUGGAGUUGCUAGUAAUCGUAGAUCAGCAUCGCUACGGUGAAUACGUUCCCGGGGCUUGUACACACCGCCCGUCACGUCACGAAAGUCGGUAACACCCAAAGUCAGUGCCCAAC
rnacentral:rRNA from 1 species